rnacentral:rRNA from 1 species
UACGUAGGGGGCGAGCGUUGUCCGGAUUUAUUGGGCGUAAAGAGCGUGUAGGCGCCAAGUAAGUCCGGUGUGAAAACUCGAGGCUUAACCUCGAGAUGUCAUCGGAAACUAUUUGGCUAGAGUCCGGAAGAGGAGAGUGGAAUUCCUGGUGUAGCGGUGAAAUGCGCAGAUAUCAGGAAGAACACCUAUGGCGAAAGCAGCUCUCUGGGACGGUACUGACGCUGAGGAGCGAAAGCAUGGGGAGCGAACAGG